UAACAGAGCUCUCCAACCCUGUUCCUGGAGAGUUACCCUCCUGUAGGUUUAAACUCCAGCCCUGUUCCUGGAGAGUUACCCUCCUGUAGGUUUAAACUCCAGCCCUGUUCCUGGAGAGUUACCCUCCUGUAGGUUUAAACUCCAACCCUGUUCCUGGAGAGUUACCCUCCUGUAGGUUUAAACUCCAGCCCUAUUCCUGGAGAGUUACCCUCCUGUAGGUUUAAACUCCAACCCUGUUCCUGGAGAGUUACCCUCCUGUAGGUUUAAACUCCAACCCUGUUCCUGGAGAGUUACCCUCCUGUAGGUUUAAACUCCAGCCCUGUUCCUGGAGAGUUACCCUCCUGUAGGUUUAAACUCCAACCCUGUUCCUGGAGAGCUACCCUCCUAUAGGUUUAAACUCCAACCCUGUUCCUGCUGUUCCUGGAGAGCUACCCUCCUAUAGGUUUAAACUCCAGCCCUGUUCCUGGAGAGCUACCAUCCUGUAGGUUUAAACUCCAACCCUGUUCCUGGAGAGCUGCCAUCCUGUAGGUUUAAACUCCAGCCCUGUUCCUGGAGAGCUACCAUCCUGUAGGUUUAAACUCCAACCCUGUUCCUGCUGUUCCUGGAGAGCUACCCUCCUAUAGGUUUAAACUCCAGCCCUGUUCCUGGAGAGCUACCCUCCUAUAG